UGUAUUCACUACUGUAAGUUGCUCUGGAUAAGAGCGUCUGCUAAAAUGCCUAAA
rfam:Salmo salar isolate Sally breed double haploid chromosome ssa16, whole genome shotgun sequence.